rnacentral:rRNA from 1 species
AGUCGAGGGGCAGCAUAUAGAUUGCUUGCAAUUUAUGAUGGCGACCGGCGCACGGGUGAGUAACGCGUAUCCAACCUACCCAUUACUAGGGAAUAACCCAGCGAAAGUUGGCCUAAUGCCCUAUGUAGUCGUUUGAUCGCCUGAGAUUUCGACGAAAGAUUUAUCGGUAUUGGAUGGGGAUGCGUCUGAUUAGCUUGUUGGCGGGGUAAAGGCCCACCAAGGCAACGAUCAGUAGGGGUUCUGAGAGGAAGGUCCCCCACAUUGGAACUGAGACACGGUCCAAACUCCUACGGGAGGCAGCAGUGAGGAAUAUUGGUCAAUGGGCGAGAGCCUGAACCAGCCAAGUAGCGUGCAGGAUGACGGCCCUAUGGGUUGUAAACUGCUUUUAUAUGGGAAUAAAGUGAGGGACGUGUCCCUUAUUGCAUGUACCAUACGAAUAAGGACCGGCUAAUUCCGUGCCAGCAGCCGCGGUAAUACGGAAGGUCCAGGCGUUAUCCGGAUUUAUUGGGUUUAAAGGGAGCGUAGGCUGUUUGUUAAGCGUGUUGUGAAAUGUAGGAGCUCAACUUUUAGAUUGCAGCGCGAACUGGCAGACUUGAGUGCGCACAACGUAGGCGGAAUUCAUGGUGUAGCGGUGAAAUGCUUAGAUAUCAUGACGAACUCCGAUUGCGAAGGCAGCUUACGGGAGCGCAACUGACGCUAAAGCUC